AUGAACGCUAGCUACAGGCUUAACACAUGCAAGUCGAGGGGCAGCAUGAACUUAGCUUGCUAAGUUUGAUGGCGACCGGCGCACGGGUGAGUAACACGUAUCCAACCUGCCGAUGACUCGGGGAUAGCCUUUCGAAAGAAAGAUUAAUACCCGAUGGCAUAGUUCUUCCGCAUGGUAGAACUAUUAAAGAAUUUCGGUCAUCGAUGGGGAUGCGUUCCAUUAGGUUGUUGGCGGGGUAACGGCCCACCAAGCCUUCGAUGGAUAGGGGUUCUGAGAGGAAGGUCCCCCACAUUGGAACUGAGACACGGUCCAAACUCCUACGGGAGGCAGCAGUGAGGAAUAUUGGUCAAUGGACGAGAGUCUGAACCAGCCAAGUAGCGUGAAGGAUGACUGCCCUAUGGGUUGUAAACUUCUUUUAUACGGGAAUAAAGUGAGGCACGUGUGCCUUUUUGUAUGUACCGUAUGAAUAAGGAUCGGCUAACUCCGUGCCAGCAGCCGCGGUAAUACGGAGGAUCCGAGCGUUAUCCGGAUUUAUUGGGUUUAAAGGGAGCGUAGGCGGACGCUUAAGUCAGUUGUGAAAGUUUGCGGCUCAACCGUAAAAUUGCAGUUGAUACUGGGUGUCUUGAGUACAGUAGAGGCAGGCGGAAUUCGUGGUGUAGCGGUGAAAUGCUUAGAUAUCACGAAGAACUCCGAUUGCGAAGGCAGCCUGCUGGACUGUAACUGACGCUGAUGCUCGAAAGUGUGGGUAUCAAACAGGAUUAGAUACCCUGGUAGUCCACGCCGUAAACGAUGAAUACUAGGUGUUGGGUUCCAAAGGAACUCGGUGCCGUCGCAAACGCAUUAAGUAUUCCACCUGGGGAGUACGCCGGCAACGGUGAAACUCAAAGGAAUUGACGGGGGCCCGCACAAGCGGAGGAACAUGUGGUUUAAUUCGAUGAUACGCGAGGAACCUUACCCGGGCUUGAAUUGCAACUGAAUGAUGUGGAGACAUGUCAGCCGCAAGGCAGUUGUGAAGGUGCUGCAUGGUUGUCGUCAGCUCGUGCCGUGAGGUGUCGGCUUAAGUGCCAUAACGAGCGCAACCCUUAUCGAUAGUUACCAUCAGGUUAUGCUGGGGACUCUGUCGAGACUGCCGUCGUAAGAUGUGAGGAAGGUGGGGAUGACGUCAAAUCAGCACGGCCCUUACGUCCGGGGCUACACACGUGUUACAAUGGGGGGUACAGAAGGCAGCUACACGGCGACGUGAUGCUAAUCCCGAAAGCCUCUCUCAGUUCGGAUUGGAGUCUGCAACCCGACUCCAUGAAGCUGGAUUCGCUAGUAAUCGCGCAUCAGCCACGGCGCGGUGAAUACGUUCCCGGGCCUUGUACACACCGCCCGUCACACCAUGGGAGUGGGUUGCAAAAGAAGUAGGUAGCUUAACCUUCGGGAGGGCGCUUACCACUUUGUGAUUCAUGACUGGGGUG
rnacentral:rRNA from 1 species